rnacentral:rRNA from 1 species
AGUGAACGCUGGCGGUAGGCCUAACACAUGCAAGUCGAACGGCAGCACAAGAGAGCUUGCUCUCUGGGUGGCGAGUGGCGGACGGGUGAGGAAUACAUCGGAAUCUACUCUGUCGUGGGGGAUAACGUAGGGAAACUUACGCUAAUACCGCAUACGACCUACGGGUGAAAGCAGGGGACCUUCGGGCCUUGCGCGAUUGAAUGAGCCGAUGUCGGAUUAGCUAGUUGGCGGGGUAAAGGCCCACCAAGGCGACGAUCCGUAGCUGGUCUGAGAGGAUGAUCAGCCACACUGGAACUGAGACACGGUCCAGACUCCUACGGGAGGCGGCAGUGGGGAAUAUUGGACAAUGGGCGCAAGCCUGAUCCAGCCAUACCGCGUGGGUGAAGAAGGCCUUCGGGUUGUAAAGCCCUUUUGUUGGGAAAGAAAUCCAGCUGGCUAAUACCCGGUUGGGAUGACGGUACCCAAAGAAUAAGCACCGGCUAACUUCGUGCCAGCAGCCGCCGCGG